GAUGAACGCUGGCGGCGUGCCUAAUACAUGCAAGUCGAGCGAACAGACGAGGAGCUUGCUCCUCUGACGUUAGCGGCGGACGGGUGAGUAACACGUGGAUAACCUACCUAUAAGACUGGGAUAACUUCGGGAAACCGGAGCUAAUACCGGAUAAUAUAUUGAACCGCAUGGUUCAAUAGUGAAAGACGGUUUUGCUGUCACUUAUAGAUGGAUCCGCGCCGCAUUAGCUAGUUGGUAAGGUAACGGCUUACCAAGGCGACGAUGCGUAGCCGACCUGAGAGGGGGAUCGGCCACACUGGAACUGAGACACGGUCCAGACUCCUACGGGAGGCAGCAGUAGGGAAUCUUCCGCAAUGGGCGAAAGCCUGACGGAGCAACGCCGCGGGAGUGAUGAAGGUCUUCGGAUCGUAAAACUCUGUUAUUAGGGAAGAACAAAUGUGUAAGUAACUAUGCACGUCUUGACGGUACCUAAUCAGAAAGCCACGGCGAACUACGU
rnacentral:rRNA from 1 species